UACGGGGGGGGCAAGCGUUGUUCGGAAUUACUGGGCGUAAAGGGCUCGUAGGCGGCCAACUAAGUCACACGUGAAAUCCCUCGGCUCAACCGGGGAACUGCGUGUGAGACUGGAUGGCUUGAGUUUGGGAGAGGAAUGCGGAAUUCCAGGUGUAGCGGUGAAAUGCGUAGAUAUCUGGAGGAACACCGGUGGCGAAGGCGGCAUUCUGGACCAAUACUGACGCUGAGGCGCGAAAGCUAGGGGAGCAAACGGG
rnacentral:rRNA from 1 species